rnacentral:rRNA from 1 species
GACGAACGCUGGCGGCGUGCUUAACACAUGCAAGUCGAACGAGGGCCCAGAGCUUGCUCUGGAGACCCGAGUGGCGAACGGGUGAGUAACACGUGACCAACCUGCCUUCGGGAGGGGGACAACCUGGGGAAACCCGGGCUAAUACCGCAUAAUGUCCACGGAUCGCAUGGUCUGUGGAUAAAAGAGAGCCUCUGCUUGCAAGCUCUCACCCGAAGAGGGGGUCGCGGCGUAUCAGCUAGUUGGUGGGGUAACGGCCUACCAAGGCUACGACGCGUAGCGGGUCUGAGAGGACGAUCCGUCACAUUGGGACUGAGAUACGGCCCAGACUCCUACGGGAGGCAGCAGUGGGGAAUAUUGCGCAAUGGACGCAAGUCUGACGCAGCGACGCCGCGUGUGGGAGGACGCCCUUCGGGGUGUAAACCACUGUCAGGGGGGAAGAACAGCGUAGGUGCAAAUAGUGCUUGCGUUUGACGGUACCCCCAGAGGAAGCGCCGGCUAACUCCGUGCCAGCAGCCGCGGUAAGACGGAGGGCGCAAGCGUUGUUCGGAAUUACUGGGCGUAAAGGGCAGGUAGGCGGUCCAUUAAGUCGUUUGUGAAAAUCCGGGGCUCAACUCCGGAAAUGCAGACGAAACUGGCGGAC